GACGAACGCUGGCGGCGUGCUUAACACAUGCAAGUCGAACGGGGCUCAUCGCUUCGGUGGUGGGUCUAGUGGCGAACGGGUGAGUAACACGUGGGCAACCUGCCCCCGGCUCUGGGAUAACUCCAAGAAAUUGGGGCUAAUACCGGGUGUGACCGCUGGCCGCAUGGUCUGGUGGUGGAAAGGGUUUCCGGCUGGGGAUGGGCCCGCGGCCUAUCAGCUUGUUGGUGGGGUAGUGGCCUACCAAGGCGACGACGGGUAGCCGGCCUGAGAGGGUGACCGGCCACACUGGGACUGGGACACGGCCCAGACUCCUACGGGAGGCAGCAGUGGGGAAUAUUGCGCAAUGGGCGGAAGCCUGACGCAGCGACGCCGCGUGGGGGAUGACGGCCUUCGGGUUGUAAACCUCUUUCAGCAGGGACGAAGCCGCGAGGUGACGGUACCUGCAGAAGAAGCACCGGCCAACUACGUGCCAGCAGCCGCGGUAA
rnacentral:rRNA from 1 species